rnacentral:lncRNA from 1 species
UGGGCAUGCCCAGUGAUACGGUUAGAACCUUGCACCAAGUUUCACUUCCUCCAGGUUUUACCAGCUGCAAAAGCAAGGAGGAGACAGAGGGAAGAGUUAAAACAGAAGGACAGCACCCGGCGUCACGUAACCCAGCCUUCUCUGGCUCCACCACCACCUCCUCCUUCCCAGCUCUUUCCCUCUCCUCCUCCUUCUGCUCCCCUCCGUUGCCUGUUCUCUCUUCCCGCACUCCUGGAGAUAGACGCUCAAGCCCGACGCCUCUGAAAAGGCAGCGGCAGUCGCCUUAUCCAGACCUCAGGAAAUUCGCUUUGACCGAUGUAUGCCUCAAGCUCUGGCUGGAGCUAAGGGGGAAUAACCGUGCAGGUAAAGAAGCUCAAUUUGGGUUGGGGGGAGGGGUCGGGGCGAGGCAAGCCGGAGAAGGAUAUCUUUCCCCGUUGUAACUGAGCCAGGAUCUGCCACAAACGCACAGGGAAGGAUGGGUGGUGGGAGGGUGGAGGAGUAUAGAUCUUGAUUGUUUUGCUUGCAGCUUUUUAAAUAGACGGUAAGAAGAUGAGAUGGAGGAACUGGGGUAGUAACUUAAAGACUGAAUGCAGUGAUUUGUUAGCAAAAAAAAAAAAAAAAAGAGAAAAAAAGAAAAGAAAAUGGGCAAGUUGGAAACCAAAGCAAUAAAAUACACCUAUAGCUACA